rnacentral:rRNA from 1 species
GUCGAACGAAGCAUUUCAAUCAGAUUUUUUCGGAAUGAAGAUUUUAAUGACUGAGUGGCGGACGGGUGAGUAACGCGUGGGUAACCUGCCUUAUACUGGGGGAUAGCAGCUGGAAACGGCUGGUAAUACCGCAUAAGCGCACAGUAUCGCAUGAUACAGUGUGAAAAACUCCGGUGGUAUAAGAUGGACCCGCGUCUGAUUAGCUUGUUGGUGGGGUAAAGGCCUACCAAGGCGACGAUCAGUAGCCGACCUGAGAGGGUGACCGGCCACAUUGGGACUGAGACACGGCCCAGACUCCUACGGGAGGCAGCAGUGGGGAAUAUUGCACAAUGGAGGAAACUCUGAUGCAGCGACGCCGCGUGAGUGAUGAAGUAUUUCGGUAUGUAAAGCUCUAUCAGCAGGGAAGAUAGUGACGGUACCUGACUAAGAAGCUCCGGCUAAAUACGUGCCAGCAGCCGCGGUAAUACGUAUGGAGCAAGCGUUAUCCGGAUUUACUGGGUGUAAAGGGAGUGUAGGUGGUAUCAUAAGUCAGAAGUGAAAGCCCAGGGCUCAACCCUGGGACUGCUUUUGAAACUAUGAAACUAGAGUGCAGGAGAGGUAAGUGGAAUUCCUAGUGUAGCGGUGAAAUGCGU